AUUUCGUAGUUACGCUUCAUCGUAACAGACUCGUAUAGUUUCCUUGUAAAAUCGCAUUUAAGUACUUUUACAAUUUACGACGAAUUUACAAGUAUUUUAAUGUAAAAUCCUUGUAAUGUUAGAGAUGAAUUUACAAGUAUUUCCUAGUAAAUGUUUUGUAAAGAUUACGAGGAUUUUACAUGUACUUCCUUGUAAACUCCUUGUAAACAUUAUAAGAAAUUUACAUCUCAUUGUCAUAUUAUUAUAAUAUUAUGAAAUAUUAAAAAUUCAAAAUAUAUAAAUUAUAAAAUAAAAUAUUGAAAAUGAAAAUAUUUUUCAAAAAAAAAAAAUACAAAUGUCAUAAAUAAUAGGGGAAUUGCACUGUAUGACGUCCAAUAACCGCAUAAUUCACUCGAUGGCUAAUUUCCCUAACUCACCGAUAUAUGACUCAACUUUUAUAAAAUAUUGCCAUAUUGCCCUCCUUAUUAACCGGGAGUAACGGGUAAAAAAUAAAGAUUAAUUAAAAAAAAUUAACUGUUCACUCAACUGUCGUGGCGCAUCUUUAACCCACAUAAUCCUUUUUUACUUUACCAUACCUUUCUCUGUAAACUAAGCACUAUUCUUCUCUUUCAUCACCACUGGAAAUUCACGCCGUGUUUUGCCCGACUUUAAACUGCUCGUCACCGCGAUAUUAC
rnacentral:lncRNA from 1 species